AUCCCAAUGGAUACAAAUGCCCAGCCAUAGGAAACCUAGCCAUUUGUGGAGUGGUAGUCGCCCGUAUAACGGGGCAAGAACAGGCUAUUAUGGGCAAAUGACUAAAAAUAGACCCUCAGUCGAUCAGCUAGGAAUGAGGAGUCUGAUGAAGGAUGUUUCCUCACCCUACCUCUUGACUGUUCCAUUGGCUGGAAAUUUAUUGUUUGGCCCAGAUGACCCAUGCUUGCAAAUAUAGAAAGUUCAGACCCACGUACCUGCUUGGAAGCCAGAUGAAAAAGACAAAGCUUGUUGGGAACGUGAAUUGCGGAGAUCAGCAUCUCAAAGAAUGGAACAGGUCAUUUAAUGGAACUGUAUGCUUCACGGAGGAGAUUUCAUAAAGAGUUUGUCCUUCUAGAAUGAAUCCUACUCCAGGUUUCCUUAUUACAUCUUGCCGAUGAAAUAAACCCUCCAAAGUUACUCAUUCCAAUAUAAGUGAUGAGGGUGCCCUUCAAUCUGUUACUUAAGAAGAACACCAGAAAACUAAAUGAUU